GACGAACGCUGGCGGCGUGCUUAACACAUGCAAGUCGAACGGAAAGGCCCGGCUUUUGUGUGGUGCUUGAUUGGCGAACGGGUGAGUAACACGUGAGUAACCUGCCCGUGACUGAGGGAUAACUUUAGGAAACAGCGGCUAAUACCGCAUAUGAUCUCUUGAACCACGGGGUUGAAUGGAAAGUUUCGGUGGUUGGGGUUGUACUCGCGGCAUAUCAGCUUGUUGGUGUGGUUGUGGCUUACCAUGGCUUUGACGGGUAGCCGGCCUGGGAGGGUGACCGGGCACAUUGGGACUGAGGUAGGGCCCAGACGCCAACGUGAGGCAGCGGUGGAAAACAUUGCGCAAUAGGCGGAAGCCUGAUGCAGCGGCGCCGGGUGCGGAAUGCCGGCUUUCGGGUUGUAAACAGCUUUCGACUGUAACGAAGAGUGAGUGACGGUACCGGAUCAGAAAGCAACGGCUAACUACGUG
rnacentral:rRNA from 1 species